rnacentral:rRNA from 1 species
CCUACGGGUGGCAGCAGUGGGGAAUAUUGCACAAUGGGGGAAACCCUGAUGCAGCGACGCCGCGUGAGUGAAGAAGUAUUUCGGUAUGUAAAGCUCUAUCAGCAGGAACGAGACAAGACGGUACCUGACUAAGAAGCCCCGGCUAACUACGUGCCAGCAGCCGCGGUAAUACGUAGGGGGCAAGCGUUAUCCGGAAUCACUGGGUGUAAAGGGAGCGUAGACGGCUGUGCAAGCCUGAAGUGAAAGGCGUGGGCCCAACCCCUGGACUGCUUUGGGAACUGUACGGCUGGAGUGCAGGAGAGGUAAGUGGAAUUCCUAGUGUAGCGGUGAAAUGCGUAGAUAUUAGGAGGAACACCAGUGGCGAAGGCGGCUUACUGGACUGUAACUGACGUUGAGGCUCGAAAGCGUGGGGAGCAAACAGGAUUAGAUACCCCAGUAGUC